CCACCACAGCCCCAUCACGAUACCAACGAACGCAGCGAUGGCAGCCUCAUCCUCUUUCAGCAAUUUCCUCUCAUUUAUCUUGCCCUCAAAACCACCACCUCCCAAGACGCCACCACCUUCCCAACUGAAUCUCCCUUCUUCUUCCUCUUCCUCUUCCUCUUCUUCUUCUCGAUUUUCCUCUCAGACUCACAAGUCCCCCGACAGCUACGCUCCGCUUGUGGCUGAAGAUGACGGAAAGCAUAAUUCUUGCUUAUCGGCGGAGUUAUCCUCUGUCAUAUGCCCCUCUCUGGCUUAUUCCAACACUCUCUUCUUCAAAUCAGCCUACAAUGUGCAGGUCAUCGUUGGGGAGAACGAACCCGAAGAGAGGCUCCUCAACAGGUUCCGUAGAGAGGUCAUGAGGACUGGUCUCAUUCAGGAAUGCAAGCGCAGGAGGUUCUUCGAGACUAAGCAGGACGAGAAGAAGCGCAAGUCCCGUGAGGCUGCCAAGCGCAACCGCAGAAGGCCACGUCCAUCAAGAUUCUCAACAGAGAGUAAGCCGGAAGUCCCCACAACAACCAAGAAGGAUGAGGAUGACGAUAACUGGGAUCUGCCCGAAGACACUCCAUACUGACCUCAUUAUCUCCUACUUCUGUAAACACCUUCAAAUUUGAUUUGGAGAGGCCUUUUCCAGCGUGAUGUAUCUUUGGAGAGGAGAAUAUUGUAUUUCAUAUUUGUUACAGUGCCAUUGAUACCCUGCAAAAUCACGUCAAGAAAGACUACAGCAAUGCUUUGUCUGCUCCUUACGUGUCUAGGUUGAUGGUAUUUUUCACUCUUGGUAAGGAGGGUAGCAAGUUCAUGGGAAUUUAGGAAUUUUUGAAAUCCCAGACACAUCAGGGCUAAAGUAAAUUGACUAAUGUGUUAUAAAAGUACUGGACAAUGGUUAGGUACUUAGUUAUGGGAAUUUAGGAAUUUUCUCCUUUGGUUUUGGACGAGUCCAUGCCUGUGCUGCAGCGAUUCAUGCUAAAUGAUCAAGAAUUCAGGAUUAGGCGACGCCAAGGUUGAAGAAGCUGAGACGUUGUGCAGUUGUCAUAUUGAACGGGCCUAGUUGGGUUGGGCUUAAGCCCAGUGAACUUUUAAGUGUGCCUCUCAGCUUAAGCCUAAGCCCAAACCGUCUUAUUUGUUGGCCCUUCAUAAGCUAGGAAUGGGCCCAAGCUUAUGGCAUAACCCAACUUAUGAUGUGUGUGUCCAGGGUCAGGAAGAGCUUGUAGUCAAUAAGAAGGAAGGUGAAUGCCACCAGAGUCUUAAUGAUUUUUUUUUUUUUUUUGUUGGAAUAAAUGUCAGGGACCUUAUGGUUAAUUUAGCUAAAAUUUUGAUUGUUGAUAAAGUACAAUAGUGUCGUGCAAUUUAUGUAGUCAACUCUACCUAGUGUAAUAAAACUUGCUGCUGUUAGAAUGAAAGUGCAGUUCAUGGUU